GCCGGGGCUGUGCAGUCAGGGCACUGGACUCGGGCUCCCCCUCCCCCACGGACGCAGCAGAGACAGUGGCCCCACGUGGAAAAACACCCCGGCUGGCGUGAGCCGCUGCUCGCGCCGGAAGCAAUCCGGUUUCCUCUGCAGGGGGCCGGGGCUCCAGCCGACCGCAGCUUACAGCACUCGGCUGGAAUCCUCAGGAUUUCCUACAUAUCAGAUCACACCAUCUGCCAACGGAGGUCAUUUUGCUUCUUCCGUUCCCCUUGGUCCUGUUUGCAUCGGUGUGACCCUGCACAGAAAACCUGGUGGUGUUUAGUCGCUCAGUCGUGUCCGACUCUCCGCAACCCCAGGGGCUGCAGCCCGCCAGGCUCCUCUGUCCAUGGAAUCCUCCAGGCCAGAACACUGAAAAAUAAUAUACAGUAGUCUGCAGUGCCUUCUUAUUAUCUGCCUUUUGAAGUGGGUGUUGUUGCACUUUAAAAAGCCUUCUUACACAUGCAGUAAAGCCCCCUCUGCAGCGCUCAGCCCUGCAGGUCUCCUUAACGUCACGUGAAUGGACCUGUACAGCCCUUGGGGUCCGGAGUCUUUCCUGCAGACAAGGCGCUGGGGGCUCAUGCCCACCGGGAGGCACCUCGUGGACGGACCGCAGGGGCCAGCGCCGCGCCAGCCGGAUGACGCCUAUUUUGUUUCCGGUUUGGGGCGACCGUAAAUA